rnacentral:rRNA from 1 species
AUGUGGAUGACAUCGGAGUACAUAGCUGCUUCGGAAGCAGCAAAUGAAGGAGUCUGGAUGAAGGAGUUCAUAUCCGAUCUAGGUGUUAUACCUAGUGCAUCGGGUCCAAUGAAAAUCUUUUGUGACAAUACUGGUGCAAUUGCCUUGGCGAAGCAAUCCAGAUUUCACAAGAGAACCAAGCACAUCAAGAGACGCUUCAAUUCCAUCCGGGAUUUAGUCCAGGUGGGAGACAUAGAAAUUUCCAAGAUACAUACGGAUCUCAAUGUUGCAAACCCGUUGACUAUGCCUCUUCCACGAGCAAAACAUGAUCAGCACCAAGGCUCCAUGGGUGUUAGAAUCAUUACUGUGUAA